GCUGUGACUUACAUUACAGGGUGUCCACCGAUAGCGUUCUGAUUAGGAAUCCGCUGCAGAACGAAAGAUGGAUUAGUAAAUUGCAAAGGAUUAAUAACCAGUUUAAGGAUGAGCUGGAUUAUAAAGACUAUACUAUCCAACAACUUAAACAGGAGCUGGAGGAAAAGGACCAUAAUCUUCAAAAGUGGCGUGAGGAGAGAGAUCAGUUAGUAGAAGCUUUGGAAGAACAGCUCAAAACUUUGGCUUCUAAUGCCAUACAAAAAGAGACAGAAAUAGCAGAACUGAGACAAUCUGCCUUAAAGGAUUCAAGCAAGGAUAAUGCAACUGUGAUAGAAGAGUUAAGAAAAGAACUGGCUGACAAAGAUGACUUUAUAAAGGAAUUAAAACAACGCAUUAACCACAGUAGCCCUCAGUGUUUAGCUCUAUAGACACAGGAAAAACCUUUACUUGAGAGAAAGGACACAAGUAGAAGGAACAUCUGCACUAAAUGAGCAAGGUAAGUGAUUAUAUUU
rnacentral:lncRNA from 1 species